GACGAACGCUGGCGGCGUGCUUAACACAUGCAAGUCGAACGGAAAGGCCCUGCUUUUGUGGGGUGCUCGAGUGGCGAACGGGUGAGUAACACGUGAGUAACCUGCCCUUGACUUUGGGAUAACUUCAGGAAACUGGGGCUAAUACCGGAUAGGAGCUCCUGCUGCAUGGUGGGGGUUGGAAAGUUUCGGCGGUUGGGGAUGGACUCGCGGCUUAUCAGCUUGUUGGUGGGGUAGUGGCUUACCAAGGCUUUGACGGGUAGCCGGCCUGAGAGGGUGACCGGCCACAUUGGGACUGAGAUACGGCCCAGAAGCCUACGGGAGGCAGCAGUGGGGAAUAUUGCACAGUGGGCGGAAGCCUGAUGCAGCAACGCCGCGUGCGGGAUGACGGCCUUCGGGUUGUAAACCGCUUUCGCCUGGGACGAAGCGUGAGUGACGGUAAUGGGUAAAGAAGCACCGGCUAACUACGUG
rnacentral:rRNA from 1 species